rnacentral:rRNA from 1 species
CGUGGGUAYUGCACMUGGGCGCAAGCCUGAUGCAGCCMUCGCCGCGUGUAUGAAGAAGGCCUUCGGGUUGUAAAGUACUUUCAGCGGGGAGGAMGGGAGUAAAGUUAAUACCUUUGCUCAUUGACGUUACCCGCAGAAGAAGCACCGGCUAACUCCGUGCCAGCCGCCGCCGGUAAA